GGGAUCCGAUUUAGCAUGGAAUAAUAAAAUAGGACUUCGGUUCUAUUUUGUUGGUUUCUAUAACUGAAGUAAUGAUUGAUAGGGAUAGUUGGGGGUGCUAGUAUUGGCCGGUCAGAGGUGAAAUUCUUGGAUUCGGUCAAGACUAACUUAUGCGAAAGCAUUCACCAAGGAUGUCUUCUUUAAUCAAGAACGAAAGUUGGGGGAUCGAAGACGAUCAGAUACCGCCGUAGUCUCAACUAUAAACUAUGCCAACUAGGGAUGGGUGAAUGUUGCUUUUUCGACUUCAUCCGCACCUUAUGAGAAAUCAAAGUCUUUGGGUUCCGGGGGAGUAUGGUCGCAAGGCUGAAACUUAAAGGAAUUGACGGAAGGGCACCACCAGGUGUAGAGCCUGCGGCUUAUUUGACUCAACACGGGGAAACUCACCAGGUCCAGAAAUCUAGA
rnacentral:rRNA from 1 species